GCCUGAAUUUUUCAGGCCUUUCUCGCUGCUGCUUAAACAGCCCUAAAAUGCCAUGAUCAAAUUCAUUUAGUCCAAUCUGCAUUUCAGAUACAU